rnacentral:rRNA from 1 species
CCUACGGGGGGCAGCAGUGGGGAAUAUUGGACAAUGGGCGAAAGCCUGAUCCAGCCAUGCCGCGUGUGUGAAGAAGGCCUUCGGGUUGUAAAGCACUUUCAGUGGGGAAGAAAGCCUUGGGGCUAAUACCCUCGAGGAAGGACAUCACCCACAGAAGAAGCACCGGCUAACUCCGUGCCAGCAGCCGCGGUAAUACGGAGGGUGCGGGCGUUAAUCGGAAUUACUGGGCGUAAAGCGCGCGUAGGCGGUCUGAUAAGCCGGUUGGGAAAGCCCCGGGCUCAACCUGGGAACGGCAUCCGGAACUGUCAGGCUAGAGUGCAGGAGAGGAAGGUAGAAUUCCCGGUGUAGCGGUGAAAUGCGUAGAGAUCGGGAGGAAUACCAGUGGCGAAGGCGGCCUUCUGGACUGACACUGACGCUGAGGUGCGAAAGCGUGGGUAGCAAACAGGAUUAGAUACCCUAGUAGUC